UACGGAGGAUGCGAGCGUUAUCCGGAUUUAUUGGGUUUAAAGGGUGCGUAGGCGGGCAUUUAAGCCGGCGGUCAAAUGUCGGGGCUCAACCCCGGCCUGCCGUCGGAACUGGGUGCCUUGAGUGGGCGAGAAGUAUGCGGAAUGCGUGGUGUAGCGGUGAAAUGCAUAGAUAUCACGCAGAACCCCGAUUGCGAAGGCGGCCUGCUGGACCGCGACUGACGUUGAGGCUCGAAAGCGUGGGGAGCGAACAGG
rnacentral:rRNA from 1 species